rnacentral:other from 1 species
GAUGCCCUGCUUUGUUCGUGUAAACCUUAAAGUUUUGAGCUAACACUUAUAAAUUGGGAGCCUGGACUUUAGUUGUGGCGCAGAAGCCUCCGGCAAGAGGACCUGUAAAGCAACUAAGAGGGCACCCCCCUACGAGGGAAGAGUUCAAAACAACGGUCCACGGCACGGCGGGGCUUAU